rnacentral:rRNA from 1 species
UACGUAGGUGGCAAGCGUUGUCCGGAUUUACUGGGCGUAAAGAGCGCGCAGGCGGUCGUUCAAGUCGCGUGUGAAAGCCCCCGGCUCAACUGGGGAGGGUCACGCGAUACUGAUCGACUCGAAGGCAGGAGAGGGUAGUGGAAUUCCCGGUGUAGUGGUGAAAUGCGUAGAUAUCGUUUGGAACGCCAAUGGUGAAAACAGGCAACUGGGGACAUGCUGACGCUGAGACACGAAAGCCAGGGGAGCGAACGGG